rnacentral:rRNA from 1 species
UGGAGGGCAAGUCUGGUGCCAGCAGCCGCGGUAAUUCCAGCUCCAAUAGCGUAUAUUAAAGUUGUUGUGGUUAAAAAGCUCGUAGUUGAACCUUGGGCCUGGCUGGCCGGUCCGCCUCACCGCGUGUACUGGUCCGGCCGGGCCUUUCCCUCUGUGGAACCCCAUGCCCUUCACUGGGUGUGGCGGGGAAACAGGACUUUUACUUUGAAAAAAUUAGAGUGUUCAAAGCAGGCCUAUGCUCGAAUACAUUAGCAUGGAAUAAUAAAAUAGGACGUGUGGUUCUAUUUUGUUGGUUUCUGGGACCGCCGUAAUGAUUAAUAGGGACAGUCGGGGGCAUCAGUAUUCAAUUGUCAGAGGUGAAAUUCUUGGAUUUAUUGAAGACUAACUACUGCGAAGGCAUUUGCCAAGGAUGUUUUCAUUAAUCAGGAACGAAAGUUAGGGGAUCGAAGACGAUCAGAUACCGUCGUAGUCUUAACCAUAAACUAUGCCGACUAGGGAUCGGACGAUGUUAUUUUUUGACUCGUUCGGCGCCUUACGGGAAAC